CCUACGGGGCGCAGCAGUGGGGAAUAUUGGACAAUGGGGGGAACCCUGAUCCAGCGACGCCGCGUGAGUGAAGAAGUACUUCGGUAUGUAAAGCUCUAUCAGCAGGGAAGAAAGAAAUGACGGUACCUGACUAAGAAGCCCCGGCUAACUACGUGCCAGCAGCCGCGGUAAUACGUAGGGGGCAAGCGUUAUCCGGAUUCACUGGGUGUAAAGGGAGCGUAGACGGCGAGACAAGUCUGGAGUGAAAGGCCGGGGCCCAACCCCGGGACUGCUCUGGAAACUGUCUGGCUGGAGUAAAGGAGAGG
rnacentral:rRNA from 1 species